ensembl:snRNA U6 U6 spliceosomal RNA
GUGCUCCCUUUGGCAGCACAUACACUAAAAUUGGAGAGAUACAGUGAUUAGCGUGGCCCCUGGGCAAGGGCGACUGUCAACCCAGCAGAUUCUCCCCCACGGUCU